CGCCGUUCGAGUGACUGGCGUUGAAGGUGGGUGACCACCGGGGAGCUCGAGACGGUGCGCUUUCAUUAGAAAGCGCACUCGGCAAGCAAGCUUGCGAGCGGACGCAAAACCGGCGUCCACUUUUGCUGCUCGCAAGCCGCCGCGCGCCUGGGCUCCUUUC
rnacentral:ncRNA from 15 species